AGUAUCCAUCACAGAGCUCUUUGAUCCCAAACCUGAAAAAUGCAGAGGCUUCUUUCUGUGAAAUUAGCCUCAAACCUCCCUAAAACCCUCUCAAACUCCUCCUCCACCACCACCACAAGCUCUUCCCUUUUCCACUUCCAACCUCACAAAACCUUCUCUCUCACCAAACCACCCCAAACCCAGACCCAAAAUCACUUCUUUAGCUCCAUCACCACACACCCACUUCACCAUCAGCACAAAGUUCAUGGCUUUCUCUCCAACCCAUUACUCAGAAAACAUUUUUCUUUGAGGGUAUCAAGCAAGAGGCUUUUGGAUUGCAGGCGCGGUUUUCUCCAAACCCAAUUUCCCAAACAGAGUUUUAACUUCAAACCAAGUCAGAAUUAUCAUCAGGGUGUCAGGUAAUGUUAUUGUUUUCUGAUUUGAUUUCAAUGAAUUUUGUAGGAAAAUGAAGGAAAGGUAGAAACUUUACCAGCUAAAUUAAUUUCCUGUGUGCAGAAGAUCAUUAUGGUUUCAAAGGGUAUCGAGCAAUGACAUGGUUUUGGGAUUGAUUACAGCUAAUAUUGUUGUUUUUUGUCUGUGGAAGAUAGCAGACUUCACAUUCAUGUACCGUAAUUUUACUGUGAGUCCUUAGUUUUGUAUCUGUGUACUGACUCAUUAUAGCUGCUUAGUGUUCUAGUCUCAUAUUAAUACUCAUUUCUCUAUGAGCAGAUCUCAGUAUUUCAGUUCAAACUUGGACAAGUACACACAUUAAUAACUUAUGCAUUUAGUCACAGUCAAAUUGGGCACAUCGUUUCUAACAUGUUGGGUCUCUAUCUUUUCGGGACGAAUGUAAGCUUUCGUGCUCCUGGUUCUGAUUUUUUUUUUUUUUUUUGCUUACAGCACAAUGUCAUUAAAUGAUUCCUGUAAACUACCCAAAUUUUGUUUUGAAAUCCGGUUAGCUGGAGAAGUGGUUCGGGCACUGCUGUUGGUUCUGAUAUAUCCUUUUGCAGCUACUAAUGCUGGUGAAGCUGAUGAAGACCUUUAUGAUUAGUAGUUUCUUUUCUUCUGUUGUUUGUUUUUUUAAUUUUUUCUUUUCUUUUCAAGUAUCAAAAAAUUCCAGAAAUAGAAAUCUGUAUUCACAUAUUUGAAGUUUGUGAAUAUUAGCAAAAGAAAACCAAGUUUUGAACUCGGUUAUGUCUUCUAUUCCUUACAUGCAUUUUCGUAAGUAUUAGCACUUAGCUACUCUGCAACAAGCUUUUCUUGUUUGACGUACACACCAUCGAUCAUUCUUUUACUUACUCUGUAUCAAACCUUUAGUUCAUAUUGACUUGGUUUCUUUGUUAAUUGUCUAGCAAGCUUUGAAAACUUCUCAUUAUUGCUUUGGUUAAUCGGUUGAAAUUAUGCGAUUAAUUUGAACUGCCGCAAAUCUGAUGUAUUAAUCCCAGUGUCUAUUAUUGUGUUAGUAGUAGUGAAGUUUGAUCAUAUGCAUAUACACUAUGUUCAUAUGUCCAUAUAAUUUACAGAGCUGGUGUAUGCAUAACCUUAAACAACAAUAGUAAUUCUGAGUUUCUGUCUGAACUUGUGGAAUUGACAUGUAUACUUUCAAUAAACCAGAUACAGUAUAAGAAGAGUUGAUAAUUUCCCAACUACUGAUCAGUGAUGAGUCCUAGUUUCUUGGUUUGUGUUGGGCACUUGGUGCUGUUGUCACCCUUCGACUGUUUAGAGUAGGCUCUUCCUGCAUGUAUGCAACUAACUAGUCAUAUGCUCACUAAUUUACUAUAUAUACAUUCUUUGCUCGCAUUCUUUUGUUCUGUUCACUAAGGAGUUCAAGAACCAGAUUGAUCCUUGAAUCCAACUGGAUCAAUACUGAAAACAAACUACAACAUGCCUAAUUUCAAAUUUCAAUAAUCGCCUUGUUACUCUGUCAAUUUAAGCAAGUAAUAUAUCGAUUAAUUAGUACUCGAAGUACCCGUCGAGUCUAAGAAAUCAAUUCUGGAUAUAGUAGAGCAAUGCAAUUUUACCAAUAACAGAUGUUUCGACCCAUGAAAUAAAGAAACCAAGUCUAAAUGCUACCCUUUCAUUCUUCUAUAAUUCGAAAACUGAUGCUCAUAUCAAUAGAUGAUAUAGAAUUGCAAAACAAUAGCUCUAGAUUGGCAUAAUUAAUGAACAAAAGAACAUCCAGAAAGAUUAUCAAGCAUAUCCCCAGACAAUGGGAUUUUUCGAAAGUCUUACUCACCUAACCCUUUGCUCCCAAUUAUAAGCUUUCAGAUUUCCUCCCUUUCCUCUGAAAGGCCUGCGUUCCGCCUCUCUCCGGAAACUACUCGACCAAAGUUAGUUUUUGUGGAAAACCGUCUGUAAGAAUUGGAAAUCAACAAAGAAAGUAAGAAUUGGAAACACACCGACAUUAAAAAUCUAAUUUACAAAUAACGAUAACAACUUCAACGAAGCUCCGGUUUAAACAUCUCCUAGAGUUCGAGAGACAAAUCAUAUAUCCUCUCUGCACACAGAGGCCACUAGACAAAUAAAGCAAGGUAAAAACGGGUUUAACAUAAAGUCUUGUCGGUACCGGCAGCAGAUUCAGGGCUAGUGUCUGAUCCAAACUCUUGAUCACGGAUUGGACAAUGUCGACGCCAAUGGGUGAUACCACAACAAUUACAAGACCUGACAGAAGUAUGAGUAUAAUAAGGUUGUUGUGCAUGAACACCCUUUAUACAAGAUGGAUAAGCAAGUCUCUUUGCUCUAAUUUUCCUCUUUUUAAAAGGACGAGAGUUAUUUAGUUCUUCUGCCUUGCGGCAUUUUUCAGCUUCUUCAUCUUCCUGCAUAACUUCUACCACUGUCGACAGAACAACAGAAAAAAUAUUUAAAACCGGCAAAGUGAGCAGCCAUAAACAAAAACAAAGAGUUUUUUUUUUGAAAGGAAACAAAAAAAAAAAAAAACAAAGAGUUCUUUUAAAGUGAAACUUAAACAAAUUGAACCUAAGCAAGCAAGCAAAUUCCAAAUUAUAAUAAAUAAAAAAACAAAAACAAAAAACAUAUACAUGAAACUACGACGACACCAUUAUUCUUCCAGAGAUCCAGCCUAAAGGGUUCAGUAGGCUCCUCCCACCGUCGGGGAUCGUCCGGGUCUAAACGCUCUAAUGAUUUCCUAAAAAAUCUCAUAAUGACAGAUUUCAACUGGAAUCAGGCAUUUCGAGUUUUUGAGAUUGUUUGGUUUGGGGGUUUUUGGUUCACACGCCUUCUUUUAUUAUUAUGAUGAAAUAUAAAAUGUAUAGACAAAGAGAUAAUAAGAGAAUCAUCAUCUUAUUCAUUGAUAAGAACCGAGACACAUAUAAAAAAUAUCUAAAACAAUACAGAAUAUCAUACAACAUAUUAUUAUUUUUGAUCGAUACACCCCUUCUUUUUAUACCGAUAGAACCGACAUAUCUUCACUAGUCCUCCUUUUCAAUAACAUUAUUAUUAUUUUGCCUAUUUAGGGUGGGUAUUCUGAUUCACGCCUGCCACCGACUCAAUCGUUUCAAGUUUGAAAUCUGAUAGAAUUCUAUCUUAAUAGCGGAAAGCACUGGACUACGGGACACCAUCCGCACAGAGUGGAUUUCAAGGGACAGCGAUGGGAAUUCCGGGUUGACCUGGUUAAAAGCUAAGGGCAUUUAUGGAAUCGCCGGUGAGGUGAAAGGGGGUUAGUACGACGCUGCCGGGAGAUUUGCCACUUCUCCGCCACCGAGAAGACCGAUGGGGUAUGGAACCGUGUUUCAGUAAGAUGCUAAGACUUGUUGUUAAUUGCGUUGUGGUUUACCGUUUUGCCAUCAUGGUUUGUAGAUCAAAUUCAGUAACGGAAACGAGAUGUGAGGUUUGGUAUGUUAAAUCGGAUCCGAAUCAGGUUCCAUAUACUUUCCUUGUCAGAUUACUGACUGAAAGCCACUUCAAAGACUUGGCGCAACAGGUUCUUUGCUGAAUAACUAUUAAUAAGUCAGAUGAUGAUUGAAAGUGUCCUCUGGCAGGUACUCUAGCUAGGCAGAAGAUCAGCUGACACAGGUAUUCUACAUGUCCUUGUUGCCAGAGGUACCAUGGUACUCAAGAUAACAACCCAAUCAGCUUUGUGUGAUACAACAAUUAUCAAGGAUUAGUCAGCUUUGUAACCUUAAAAGAAUUGUUAUUAUCUGCAGUAAAAAUCUCUGACAAAUUAGCUGAUACUGUUAAUGGAAUUAACUGUAAUUAAGAAUACAUGCAAGAGGUAGUUCUACUCAAAAUGCAUCAUAAAAUUGUCCAGUACAUUACUGAAUUGAUGAUAUUUCAAAGCACUUUUAUAUAUAGUACUCAUAUUCUCAUGAUCUGCUGUUUGCAGAACAUGCCAAUAUCGAAGCUGCGCAAAUCUUUUGUUUUCCCAGCAUCGGUAAAGUGUUAGCAACCCUUUACAUUUGUGAUUUGUGGACUUUACAUUUCACAACAAAUUCGGCUUGUGGAUUCUCUGUUUAUCAUAUCCGACAAUGUUAGAAGCCUAUCAAUAAGAGAAGUACUAGAUAAUAUAACUCUUCAAAGGAAUUUGCUUACUUUUUUGGCAGAAUUAACAUAGAAUUAUCCAUGAGAUGAAGUUUAUAAAUGGCAAUCAGAAUAAUAUAUUUCUUUUUCUGCAUAAGCUUGGAGUUUGUAUAUCUCCUUUCUUCUCCUAUUAUUAAAGAACUUUGAAGUGGGAACUGAGUGUCUGGUGUCAAAUGUUACCAUUGUUGCCGUAAGAAAAGGGUACUGUGGAAGUUGGCUUAUGUCAGGAAGAUUUGUCAUUUCUCACUACUAUAUAACUUUAAAAGAUUUAAUGGGAUUAUGAGGUGCAAUCUGUAUAUUCAAAUACUGUUCAUUCUGGCAUACAUUGGGUGAGUUUUAUAAUGACAGGUAAUGAACCAAUUUAUGCCUUGCUUAGGGUUCCUUUUCAUUCGAUUGUUUGACAAAAAGUUGACAAGCUGAAACUUUGAUUUGCCGUUAUAUUCUUUUGAGUACAUGACAUUUAUAAGUCAAGUCAUUUAACUUCCAAAUCUGUUUGAAAUAUAUAGGGUGCAAGCGGUGCUGUUACUGCUACCAUUUUGCUUGAUAUAUUCCUCCACCCCACUGCUAGACUCUACUUUAUCAUCCCCGUUCCUGCCAUGCUGCUGGUAAGUUAUCUUCUAUCAGUUCUACACUUCUAUGUCAUGUGCUGUACGUUGAGGCUAUAGUGCAAAUACUUGCUAUAACUUACCUCUCUUUCUUCUAUUUUAGGGGAUGUUUUUACUGCUGUACGUUGAGGCUAUAGUGCAAAUACUUGCUAUAACUUACCUCUCUUUCUUCUAUUUUAGGGGAUGUUUUUACUUGGGCAGGAUUUCUUAAGGGUGAAUUCGGUAUGUUGGGUUCUCUCGUUUCCAUUUUUGUCUAUGUGCAUUGCCCUUGAAAUAAAGUAGGAGUUGAUUUUCAUCACUCAUUACGCUUUCAACAAAAUCCUGACAAUUAGACGUUGUUCAUCAUGCAUUUAUUCUGCCCAUUUUACUGUUGAAGUGAGAAAACCUUCAACUUGGCAUGACCAAAGAGCCUCACUGAAUCUCGGUACCUUAAAGUUUUCAUAUUCGUGUUCACAUGCCAUCAAACCACUUUCAUUGUCAUUUUUUUAGCAGACAUAGUGAUUAUACUGUUAUUGCAGGGAUACAUGUUUAUCUCAGGAUCCACACACUUGGGUGGUGCCACAGUUGCAGCCAUAGUCUGGGUCUGGGCAACGACUUCGGAAGAGGCGCGUUGAGUUUAAAUGCUGUGCAGCCUGAUUACUUAGGCGUCAUGUAUCAGAUGUUCUGAGUAGGAAACUUAGGUAUGGCACAUGUUACUGCUAGCCAGUGCCGUCAAGUAGAAGACUGAGAUGUAUAACGUGAAGUUCUGAUGGUUCAGAUACAUUUUGGGAAAAACGAAAGAACAACUAUUCUCUGUAUACUGACCUUAUUUCCUUCUUUCAAAAGCACAUUGUGCAUUUGUGCCUAUGAAAGAAAACUCGGAGAGAGAGAAUCAACUUGACCUUGACCUUUGGUGUUGCUUAUAUAGGUAUAUUACAAAGUAUAUUACAACUGUACUAUUUCCUUGGGUUUAUGAAUCUUUGGAUCUUACAUAUUCUAAUUUCCGAUUGUAUAUGAAGAUCUCUGUCUCUGAUUCUCAUGCUUCAUUCCUUAAACCUUACUACAAACAAGGUCCGAGUACAUUCUUCUACUCUCAUUGCAAAUGAUACUAAUGUUCCUCUAAAUUGUUAACUUGUCAUUUAACACCAAACAUCAAUUUACGAACCGACAUGGUAAGGGACAAAGACCCUCCUCCUCCUUCAGAGUCUGAGACACUCCAAUUAGUCCAAUUCUCAGCAUUUGAACUCUUCAAAUUGAUCAUCUUCUGCUCUCUAAAAUUGAAAGGAAAGGAAAUUGUUUUUCCCCAAAACCCACCAAAAGGAGCUCUCUUUGAUUCAAACCUCACAAAAUGCAGAGGCUUCUUUCUGUGAAAUUUAGCCUUAAACCUCCCUAAAACCCUCUCAAGCUCCACCACCACAAGCUCUUCUCUUUUCCACUUUCAACCUCACAAAACCUUGUCUCUCACAAAACCACCCCAAACCCAGAUCCAAAAUCACUUCUUUAGCUCCUUCCCCUCACACCCACUUUACCAUCAGCACAAAGUUCAUGGCUUUUUCUCCAACCCAUUACUCAGAAAGCACUUUUCUUUGGAUUCCGCAAAUACCCUUUUGAGGUUAUCAAGCAAGAGGCUUUCGGAUUGCAGGCUUGCCUUUCUCCAAACCCAAUUUCCCAAACAGAGUUUUAACUUCAAACCAAGUAAGAAUUAUCAUCAGGGUGUCAGGUAAAGUUUUUGUUUUCAAUCACAUUUGAAAGAAAAUGAAGGAAAGCUAGUAAAUUUACAAAUUAUUCCUACUUCUAUCUUAGGUAGCAAAAUGCAUUGUCUAUUUUAGGCAUGAACGAAAGCUAUGAACUUUGAUAAUAGAGUAUUUUGUAAUUUUUGUUGUUGUUGAGGGAUGAGGGUAGUGGAUUGAACAAUGCAGUUAUGCAAUUUGUGAUGACUAACUAUUGUUUGUAAUAUGGGAUUGAACAGUGCAGUUAUGCAAUUUGCUUUUUGCCUUUUGCAUUCAUUUCAAUAACAACAAUGCGUUUCAUAGUCCUUUUACUUGUGACCAUAUUUUUAGUUUAACAGAAGGUCCUUCAUGUGCAAUAACUUAUUUCUCUUGUUUGCAGGAGCUCAUGGUUUCAAACCAUAUCGAGUAAUGACUUGGUUUUUGGAUUGAUCCUGGCUAAUGUUAUUGUUUUCCUUUCAUGGUGGAUAGUAGACCCUUUAUUCUUGUACCACAAUUUUACUGUGAGUCCUUUAUUGUGAAUUGUGAAGUACUGUGUUGUUAACUUAUCUUAUUCUGUCCUAUUUUCCUGACAUUCUUUAUGAGUUCUUCCUGAUUAUGUAAAGCUUCUUAGUAUUCUCACUAUAUAAUCUGAUAAUAUCAUAUUUCUAACUUCAGUUUCUGAACUUGUUCAUUUUCUCUAAAUAGACCUCAUUAUUCAAUUUUAUGCUUGGAGCCUUGGACACGUUCACACAAUGAUAACUCCUGCAAUUACUCAUGCCAGUGCUGGGCAUCUCAUUUUUAACAUGAUCGGACUGUGUUAUUUUGGAAGGAAUGUAAGCUCAAUUUCCUCAGAAUCUCAUUUUCUUUCUUGUUCCAGGUUCAAAUUUUUCUUUUAAGCUACUGAAUUUUUUGAAAUAUGUUUAGUCGGAGAGUGUUUCAUAAAGCUAGGCUUGCUUGACUAAUUAAAUUGAUUCUUGCAUAGCCUUUAUGGAGUUUCAAUCAUUUUCACGUUUCUUAUUUUGGUGUAUUGAUCAGAUUGGUAGAGUUUUCGGGCCUGAAUUUUUGCUGAAGUUGUAUAUAGCUGGAGCUAUUGGUGGCUCAGUCUUUCACUUGGUUCACCAUGCCUUCCUGUACCAGACCACUCCGGUACAGGUACACAGAUUAUCAAGGCUUUGUAAGCUAAAAAGAACAAUUAUCUGCCACUGAAAUAUCUUACCAAAAAAAAGUUGAUGAAGUUAGCACGUAAUCAAGGUUACAUGGGAUUGUAAAGAUAGAAGAGUUCUUCAGUAGAUGAUUAAAUUGCUGGUAUUUCACUCCACUUUCACUAAAUAUGUAAUAUUUAGCAUUCUCACGAUCUGUUAUUUGCAGCGAAGGAGAGUGGAAAUCCGUACGGAACCGGCAUUGGUAAGCUAUCAGCAACCCUUUACAUUCUGUUGGGCAUUCUCAAAGAAAAUGAGAAAAUGAAAGGAGAUUGUCUGUUUAUCGUAUCCCAACAAAUUUACUAGCCUACAAACCAUGAAAGUGAUGUUUUUGUUCUUUUGUCAACAUUGGCAUUCUGAUCUUUGGGUUUCUAGGUCGGGUCUUCUCUCCUUUUUUUUUGUUUUACAGACUUGUGAUGUAGGAACUAGGAACCAAGUGUGAAGUGUCUGGUGUCACAUCUUACCAUGGUUCCUGAAACAAAAGCAACUUCACUUCUCUCCAAGAGAUAUGUUAGUCCUCCCCACUACAUAACUUAAAUGUCUAUGAAUGGCAAUGUGAGGCAGUCGCUUUAUUCAAGUCACUGGCAUAAGGGUGAUUAUGGAGUUGUGAGAGAUCAUGAACAAUUCAAAUGUCCACCAGCUUCAUUCUUUACAUCAGUUGUUUGACCAAAAUUGAUCAACCUACUUUGAUUCGUUGUUAUAUUAUGUCAGGAACAUCACAUAACUCUUCGGUUUGUUUGUGAUAUUAGGGCGCAAGUGGUGCUGUUAAUGCUAUCAUGUUGCUUGAUAUAUUCAUCCACCCCGCAGUUCCUGCAGUGCUGCUGGUACGUUUUCUUAUGUGUUGUGUGGAUGUUGCCGCUAUUAUGCAAAUACUUAAAACAGGUUACCUCUCUUUGUUCUAUUUUAGGGGAUCUUUCUAAUCGGGAAGGAUAUUCCAAGGAUCAUGGAGGUUGGUUUCUAUCAUUUUCACACUGCUUGUUUUGUGUCUGUUGUUAUUUUCUGUCCACACUCCACAGUGUUCAAGAGAGAUAACCUAGCAACUUGGCAUUACAAAGCAACCUCACUCACUGUUUCUGGUACUAGUAAUGUUGUGAUAACAUUAUAUUGUUAUUGCAGGGAAACGCUCAUGUCAAGGGAUCUACACACUUGGGCGGCGCUGUAGUAGCAGCGGUAACCUGGGCUAGACUUCGGAGGAGGCUUCGGGUAUUCUAAAUGGUUCUGCAGAUAACUUGGGCAACAUUUUGUAGAUGUUAUGGGUAGGAUAUUCCUGCAUCUUAACUAUUGAUCAGUGCCUUCCGGCAGGUUUUAUAUUACUGAAUCAUUCACCAACACAAACUUGGAUAUUGAACUUUUCUUGAUGUAAGAUUCUAAUCAUCCUGAUGAUUUAGAGAUAUAUUUUAGGAAUUGCAAAGGACAAGGAAGAAAGUUUUCCUCAUUUCCCUUUUCAAUGGGAAAACAACAUAAUCUAUUAUGAUUCAACUUCUUGACUCGCGUCUUCUCAUAUACUGGACAUCAAUACUGUUGCUUACAUUAAACCAGAUACCGGGCCGCCAAAUCCAGUCAUGCCUUUCGAGCUUCUAUAAGUGGAUAAUUAAUCGGAUGCUCGCUCCAUUGCUACUAGCUUCUUCAUUCUCUGUCUCAUCUUUCAUAUGCACCGUAAUAAUCAUAAUUACAAGUCAAAGAUCACUUCUGGGCAAGGUGAUGAGUAGAUGUGAAUCAGAAAAGAUGGUUGAUUCAAAUACUUGUCAACGAUAGACAUCAAAAUUGUAUAUUUGCUCUAAAUGAAGCAAAGGGUUGACUUAUAUCACUUCUAGUUUCUAAAACCAAAAGAAUUUAAGAAUCCCAGCCCUUCAGUUCACUUUCUUGCAUGUCUUGUUCAAUCUUUCUGCCCAAAACCACCUCUUUAGUUUGAAAGAUAUCAGUCACUCAUGUAUCAGCAGUAUGUACCCAAAUUGAAAGGCAACUGCCAAAUACCGUCGAGUAUGUUCUCUAUGCACCCAAAGAAGAAUUCAUGACAUUAAACAAUUAUGCUACCCAUUCCCAUAUUACAAGAUGCAGAAGUCCAUCUGAUAAAAUCGUUGGUAUAAUCAAUGACCUAGUGAUUCCAUAAAUGACUUUGUGUUCCUCACAUCAUCAUUCGAUUCUGGAUAACUUGGUGGCUUAAAUAGUUUCCAUAGUCCAGCAGGAUGUUGGUUUCGUACUUUACCAUCUCCUGAAAGUCUUCCAAAUAUCUUCUCACAGUCCGGAUAUGGCUUCACAUACAGGUUAUAGAAUUUAAGCCUGCUAGGCUUGAUCAGACCCUUUAACCCCACAUCGCAACCAAGCCCACCUUUUGAUCGCAAAUGCUCUAUCACAUUGAACCGAGGAAGGAUUUGCUUCCUAAAAUUCACACCCAAGUACUCCGGAACUUCAACCAAACAACGAAUAUUGAAUUUCAUCUUCUGUGUUAAAAACUCAAUCUUCCUCUCAAUGUCCUUUACAUCAUAUAUGAUUGACCUCGGCUCCUUCCACAACACCUCAAAAGCCUCCCUACGUAUCAACCCAUGUUUGCACAAGCAGUCAACUCUCAACUUCACCUCAAAGCCAGCUCGGAAUUCUCCAUUACUGUAAAUCUUCUCCUUGAUAGGUUCCCUACAUUUCAAAGUCCUCAACCAUUCCAAACACCACGAAACUUCACCCAAUUCCAUGCCUAGAACUCUUGGCUCUCUAACAAUCUCCCUCCUGAUAACAUCCUUACCAAAGCCAAAAUCUUUAAACUCACAAAGCAAUGGCUUCAAUCUAUCUUCAACCCCAAAUCCUAAAACCCCUGGAAAACAACAAAGAACCCGAUCAAUUCCAUUCCUCGGAAUCCCAAAUCCCACCAAGAACUCAACUCUCUUACCUAUCUCCCUCUCAUUCAUCAACACCACCCCUGGAAACCCCUCUAAAACCCUACACACAGUACCAUCCUUAAACCCUAAACCCCUCAAAGCCUCCACACUCCCAAAAACACCAUCUGGGUCAAUCUGAAACCUCCUAGAAUGUUCCAAAACACUCUUGAUCAUCAAUGGGGAAGCACCUAAAAUCCCCAAAUUUGAAAAACCCAAUUCCCAUUUCUUAAGAAACUCAAAAUCCAAAACACCAGGGCAAUCACAUAUCAAUGAAACAAGGGAAUUCUGAUCAAUUUUGAAUGACAAAAGAAUAACCAGAGACUUCUCUAACUCAUGAAAUUCUGAAUUGAGUAAAAAUUGAUUCUUUGAUAUGAAACUGUGAACAAUGGAGGAUGGGAAGCCGUACCUUUGGAGUAGAUUGGAAAUUUGCUGGGAAAAUCUGGGGUUUGAUGAGAAAGAUUGGAACUUUUGGUGGAGGAGAGAUGGGUUUUGUUUGGGGUUUAAAGUGAAUGUGAAGCGGGUAAGUAUGGUUCUGGUUAGAACCCUCAAAGCCAUUUUUGACAAUUCUGGGUGAGCACAGCAGAGACUGGGCGACUCGCUGCCUACAUGGCUACGUAUAUGCAAUUAGCAGAGACCCGCUUUUACGCGGUAAAAGUAAAAAAACAAGGAGAAAUGACAAAAUGUGAAACAUAAGAGCUACAACUGUAAAAUCCAAAACUUAUUUGUUACCGUGACCAUUCAUCCAAAAUAUGUAGACCAGAAAAGAAGUUAUAGCUACUUGUAUGGAGUUGGUUUUGUUAGAAUAAGAUUUUCGGUUGGAAUGCCGAUUAUCUUGCUGUAAACGUAGUUUGAUUUCAGCUUAUCGAAUGUUGUUUUUAAUAAUGUUAAUUUAUAUUCAAAAUACGUAGAGCUGUAGAUCAUAAGAAUAAUUAUAUUUUCUUUUUACUCUUUAUAUAAACAUAUUUAUUUUCUUUUUACUCCUUACAUAAACAUAUUUUCAGAAGUAAAGUAAAUUCCUUUUAUGAUACAUGAGAUAUGAUCAAUCAUACUUUUGUUACCUUGUCUUUAGAAAAUAACACUUCGAUACCUCAAGGCACCACUAGGUAUCAAGUUGUCCAAUUCAUCAUACCUCAUGUACCGUAAAAGGAUUUACCAUUUCAGAGUACCACCUACGUCACCUCUUGCAGUAGAAGAUUUAAUGCCAAAUUACCAAAUAUAUGAUGAGAGACACUCACGGGUCCAUGUUUAAAAAAAAAAAGAAAAAAAAAAAGAACACUCACAGGUCCCAACUCACAAGUCACUUCCUUUCACCUCUUGCAUUUGAAAUAUUCCACCCCCUUACAUUUCCAUUGAUCUCCAACACAAGAAAGGAAGAAACUUUCCCCCAAAACCCAUCAAAGAGCUCCUUGAUUCCAAACCUCCAAAAAUGCAGAGGCUUCUUUCUGUGAAAUUAGCCUCAAAACCUCACCAAAAACCUCUCAACCACCACCUCCACCACCACCACCACCACCACAAGCUCUUCCUUUUUCCACUUCCAACCUCACAAAACCUUCUCUUUCACCAAACCACCCCAAACCCAGUCCCAAAAUCACUUCUUUAGCUCCUUCCCCACACACCCACUUCCCCAUCAGCACAAUCUCACUCACAAAAUUCAUGGCUUUCUCUCCAACCCAAUAAUCAGGAGGCACUUUUUGCUGGGUUCCGCAAAUACCCUUUUGAGGGUAUCAAGCAAGAGACUUUCGGAUUGCAGGCUUGCCUUUCUCCAACGCAAAUUUCCCAGACAGAGUUUUGACUUGAACCCAAGUCGCAUUUCUAAUCAGAGUGCCUGGUAAUGUAUCUGUUCUCUGUCAAAGUGUGUGAUUAAAUUUCAAUGAAGUUAGGGAGUUGAACAAAGUUUUCUGCUUUUGUUUUGUGUGUUAUGAAGUUUCAUGUAUGUGGGAAAUUGGGUUUCUUUUUUC
rnacentral:lncRNA from 1 species